GUUUCGUUCAGUUGGGCAAAUCAGAUGCAUUGUGUGGAAGCCCUUUUCUGCUGUAAGCCAUAUAAACCUUUUCUGCCAACUUCUUAUUCACCCCAAGAGGGCUACUUAAAGGAGGGUGAAGACAUGCUAAGGCUUGGAGAUGCUGGAUCCUUCAGCCAGCAGUGAGCAUUCCUCAUUUCAAGGCAGGAAUCCCCCCCAUUGUGGGCAAGCUGCCUCCACUUCUUCCAACUCCUGGCAGGAAAUCCUUCCUGGGUCCCUCCUUCAGCUCCUGUCAAGUCCCGUUUGUGAGGACUGGUCAACCCCGAAGGUCUGUUUUUCCCUCCCCUGCUUGUGGCAGGCCUCUCCAAGAGGCAUAACCCUUUGGGGUGCCCUGAAGGAUCCCCUAGGCUUCCCCAAGCCUGCCAAGCGCCCAGUACUUGAAGAGAAGCCAGGCCUUUUAGCACUGCCAUCAGUGUAGAAAUUCAGAGGGAAGGAGUGAAGUUGUUAGUGCGGGUCUGGGUGAAGCCACAGAAGCCUAAUGGAAGAGCCAGCCUCGGAGGAAGUCAAGUAUUUGGGUGCCUGGAGGGGAGAAGGCACCGUGAUCUCCUGCUUAGAGAGGGACCUUCAGGUUGUCACUCUGUUGUCCAGGCUGGAGUGCAGUGGCACAAUCUUGGCUCACUGUAACCUCCGCCUCCGGGGUUUAAGUGAUUCUCCUGCCUCACUCAGCCUCCCAAGAACCUGGGACUACAGGCACCCGCCACCGCCCCCCACUGAUUUUUGUAUUUUUAUUAGAGAUAGGGUUUCAUCAUGUUGGCCAUGUGGAUCUUGAACUCCUGACCUCAGGUGAUCUGCGCACCUUGGUCUCUCAAAGUGCCGGGAUUACUGUGGCGUGAGCCACUGCGCCUGGCCUAAAUGAGAUCAUAUCAAUGAAAAUCUUCUCGACUUUCCAAGAAUUGCACAGAUAUCUGUCUGUUGGUGCUUGGUUAAUCCAAUUCUGCCUGCAAAGGCUGGUUGGUGUGGUUGGGGGAACUGACUCCGACUGAUGGUUGGAUGUGAGCCGAUGCUGCGGUUUCCUCCUCUUCGCAGUUCCUUUGCAGUUAGAGCCACAGGAGUGGGCAGCUCAGCCUGUGUCUUUGCUGAACUAAGGGAAGCUCCACCGAGCCUGGAGAACAAGGUGGUUUCUGCCCAGUUGGUGGCGUCACCCUCCUUGAAGGCCCCUGCCUGGCCUGCAGCACUGAUGUCCAGGCUGUGAGUACAAAUGUGGCUUCCGUCUGUCUGAAACGUGGUCCCAUAGAAACUUUUUCACGUUUGGGGUCUGUGCUGAACUAGAUAUUUGUGGAAAGUCAUUUUGUAGACAGUAGGCCUCGCAGUUGUUCAAUUAUGUGCGUAUUAAAAUACAAUAAAAAUGUCUAACUUUUAC
rnacentral:lncRNA from 10 species